rnacentral:rRNA from 1 species
AAGAGGAGUCAAAUGCUUCUUUUCUUAAGGACAAGCUGUGAUGGGGAGGGAAAUAAUAGUACCGAAGUUCCUGAUGUCACACUGCCGAGAAAAGCUUCUAGUGAGAAAACAGCGGCCCGUACCGCAAACCGACACAGGUAGUCGAGGAGAGAAUCCUAAGGUGAGCGAGAGAACUCUCGUUAAGGAACUCGGCAAAAUGACCCCGUAACUUCGGGAGAAGGGGUGCUGAUCAUACGAUCAGCCGCAGUGAAUAGGCCCAAGCGACUGUUUAUCAAAAACACAGGUCUCUGCAAAAUCGUAAGAUGAAGUAUAGGGGCUGACGCCUGCCCGGUGCUGGAAGGUUAAGAGGAGUGCUUAGCGCAAGCGAAGGUACGAAUUGAAGCCCCAGUAAACGGCGGCCGUAACUAUAACGGUCCUAAGGUAGCGAAAUUCCUUGUCGGGUAAGUUCCGACCCGCACGAAAGGCGUAACGAUUUGGGCACUGUCUCAACGAGAGACUCGGUGAAAUUUUAGUACCUGUGAAGAUGCAGGUUACCCGCGACAGGACGGAAAGACCCCAUGGAGCUUUACUGUAGUUUGAUAUUGAGUGUCUGUACCGCAUGUACAGGAUA